AGUGAACGCUGGCGGUAGGCCUAACACAUGCAAGUCGAACGGCAGCACAGUAAGAGCUUGCUCUUACGGGUGGCGAGUGGCGGACGGGUGAGGAAUACAUCGGAAUCUACUUUUUCGUGGGGGAUAACGUAGGGAAACUUACGCUAAUACCGCAUACGACCUACGGGUGAAAGCAGGGGAUCUUCGGACCUUGCGCGAUUGAAUGAGCCGAUGUCGGAUUAGCUAGUUGGCGGGGUAAAGGCCCACCAAGGCGACGAUCCGUAGCUGGUCUGAGAGGAUGAUCCGCCACACUGGAACUGAGACACGGUCCAGACUCCUACGGGGGGCAGCAGUGGGGAAUAUUGGACAAUGGGCGCAAGCCUGAUCCAGCCAUACCGCGUGGGUGAAGAAGGCCUUCGGGUUGUAAAGCCCUUUUGUUGGGAAAGAAAAGCAGCAGGUUAAUACCCCGCUGUUCUGACGGUACCCAAAGAAUAAGCACCGGCUAACUUCGUG
rnacentral:rRNA from 1 species